rnacentral:lncRNA from 1 species
GUAGCUGAGCAGGCUUGAAAAGUUCCGUUUUUCUGUGAACGCUGCUGCUGGGUUCUGUGAGAGAAGCUCUUGCAAGCUCCUAAUUCGCGACAUGAAUGGAAUGACCUAUGAUGAUGUGCAUGUAAAUUUCACUGGAGAAGAAUGGGCUUUGCUGGAUCUUUCUCAGAAAAGGCUGUACAAGGAUGUGAUGCUGGAAACCUACAGGAAUCUCACUGCUAUAGGUUACAGUUGGGAAGAUGGUAAUACUGAAGAACAUUUUCAACGUUCUAGAAGACAUGGAAGGCAUGAAAGAAGUCAUACUGGAGAAAAACCUUCUGUAUAUACUCAAUGUGGUAACGUGUUUGCAUAUCACAGUCAUUCUCAAAAACAUGACAGAAUUCAUACUGGAGAGAAACCCUGUGAAGGUAUUCAACAUGAUAAAGCCUUUGCACAUCACAGUCAUUUUCAAAGGCGUGAAAGAACACAUACUGGAGAGAAACUUUAUGAAUGCAAUCAGUGUGGUAAAGCCUUUGCACAUUGUAGUUACCUACGAAAGCAUAAAAGAAUUCAUAGUGGAGAGAAACCCCAUGAAUGUAAUCAAUGUGGUAAAGCCUUUGCAUGUCAUAGUAAUCUCCGAAUACAUAAAAGAACACAUACUGGGGAGAAACCCUAUGAAUGUAACCAGUGUGGUCAAGCCUUUGCAUUUCAAGGUAAUCUCCGUUUACAUGAAAGAACACAUACUGGAGAGAAACCCUAUGACUGUAAUCAAUG